UUGGUUCUUGCGCCUACGAAUCAGAUGCAACGUCGCAAGCAUGCAAGCUGAAAACGUUUCUUAAGUUGGACCAUUGUGUGCUUCAUGUGACGACGAUGCGUCAGCUAGCUUCUUUAGAAAUGAGACGACCUCAUCCGAUGACUGAAGUAGAAACCGGGCAUUUGUACGAGGUCGCCCCACAGCACAGGAGAAGUAGUUCUCUUUAUUGAGAUCAAGCACAUUGUAGGACGUCUUAUCCGAUGAUGGCUGCCGUACAUUAGUACAGUUGUGAUUCGGGGUUUUUUUCUCGGGAGCUUGGGCAGGUCGCUGCGUCUUACCU
rnacentral:lncRNA from 1 species